UACGGAGGGGGCUAGCGUUGUUCGGAAUUACUGGGCGUAAAGCGCACGUAGGCGGCGAUUUAAGUCAGAGGUGAAAGCCCGGGGCUCAACCCCGGAAUAGCCUUUGAGACUGGAUUGCUUGAACAUCGGAGAGGUGAGUGGAAUUCCGAGUGUAGAGGUGAAAUUCGUAGAUAUUCGGAAGAACACCAGUGGCGAAGGCGGCUCACUGGACGAUUGUGACGCUGAGGUGCGAAAGCGUGGGGAGCAAACGGG
rnacentral:rRNA from 1 species